AGAGUCGGUGAAGGCUUUAAAGGAAGUAGGCAGCUGGAACCCGGCUGUGGCGGGUUGAAAAGCCCGGGCGUUUGAGAGCUGAGACUUGCCAGUUCCCACAGGCCAAGCCAGGCGUCUGCACCCCAUUCUCUUGGUUCCGACGGUGUGUCUCUGCGAUGUUUUGGCGGUCUCUCCUCUCCAUCCCCUUAAUAAUACUGGUCUCUGUUUCACCCGUACCCCUCUACACGAGCAGGUGCAAAUUGUCAUUGAACCGGGAAAGUGGGCACACACUCAGAUGCCUCCAUGGACACGUGAGAAACCAUGCUUCUGUUUCAGCCUAUUGCUGACACGCGGGAAUGUGGGCCCUGUGAUGCCAGAUCUUACUUUCUUUCCUUUCUUCCUCUCUUCUCCCCUCUCUACUUCCUUCCCUCUCUCCUUCCCUCCCGCCCUCCCUCCUCUUUGUGUGUGUGAUAAAAUCUAUCUAACAUAAAAUUCACCAUUUUUAAGUGUACAGUUCACUGGCAUUAAGUACAUUCACAUUGUUGUGAAACCAUCACCACUAUCCAUCUCCAGAACUUUUUCAUUAUCCCAAAUAGAAAAUCUGCCUGUUACACAGUAACUCCCCGUUACCCGUUUCUCACAACCCCUUAUAGCCGAUAUUGCACUUUCUGUCUGUAAGUGCGAGGUACCGCAUAUAAAUUGAAUCAUACAAUAAUUGCUCUUUUCUGAUUGGCUUAUUUCACUUAGCAUAAUGUCUUCAAGGAGCAUCUAUGUUGUAGCAUGUAUCAGAAUUUCUUCCUUCUUGAGGCUAAAUAAUAUUCCAUUAUACAUGUAUACUACAUUUUGUUUAUCCAUUCAUCCAUAUAAAUGGAUGCUUGGUUAUUCCCACCUUUUGGCUAUUGUGAAUAAUGCUGCUAUGAACUUUGGUAUACAAAUAAUCAUUCUCCACAUAAUACGCAGAAAGAGUUUUCUAAAAUGUAAAAAUCUGUUCAAGUUACCUCCCUCCUGAAAAUCUUCUAUGGUAAAUUGAAACCAAAAUAUGAUACUAUUAAACACUCCAUAGAAUAGCUGAAAUGAAAAGACUGACAAUUCCCUUAGUUGCAAAGAUGCAGAAAUGGGACUCUCAUACAGUGUUGAUGGGAGUGUAAAAUGGUACAACCACUUUGGAAACAUCAGUCUCUACUGAAAUCAAAUUUACCCCUACCCUAUACCCCAGAAAUCCCAUUUCUAGAUAUUUACCCCAAAAAAUGAAUGCCUUUAUUCACCAAAAGACUCAUAGCAGCUUUAUUCAUAAUAGCCAAAGGGAAAAAACCCAGAUGUCCACCAAUAGAUGAAUAGAUAAAUUGCAGCUUAUUCAUAUAACUGUAUACUACUGUUGAAGAAUAAUUUUAAUAUCAAAUAUAAUACAGAUAUAAAAUAAAUGUUAGAGAUUUUAUUUAACUCAUUAAUGAAUGAGAUAUCCAGAAAGAUUACAACUGCUUCAAUGGAAAAUUCAAAGUACCACACACAUAGUCAAAUGAGGAAUAAUGAAAUAACUACAAAUAUAUACAAAAACUGGCAGAACUGAUGAAAUCCACAGCUUAGUAAUCAAUUGCAUUCUACUGAAAACAAUUUGCAUUUCUUUUUUUUUUUUUUUUUUUGAGACGGAGUCUCACUCAGCCGCCCAGGCUGGAGUGCAGUGGCGCAAGCUCGGCUCACCGCAACCACCAUCUCCCAGGUUCAAUAGAGUCUCCCGUCUCAGCCUCCCGAGUAGCUGGGAUUACAGGCACCCGCCAUCAUGCCCAGCUAGCUUUUUGUAUUUUAGUAGAGACAGGGUUUCACCGUGUUGGCCAGGCUGGUCUCGAACUCCUGACCUCAGGUGAUCCGCCUGUCUUGGCCUCCCAAAGUGUUAGGAUUACAGGCAUGAGCCACCGUGCCCGGCCACAAUUUGCAUUUCUAUAGACAAGAAGUGUCUAUAGUUUGUAUAGUUGUUCUGUAGCUCAAAGACAGUGAAAGGUUUAGAGUCUUCAUAGAAUCAGACAUCCUAGAAAAGUAAGCUGGACAGCUGGGCACCUUGUUUUUCAAUGACACCCAGUAAUCAUUUUUUUGUUGUUUGUCUUAGAUGGAGUCUUGCUCUGUCACCCAGACUGGAGUACAGUGGUGUGAUCUCAGCUCACUGCAACCUCCACUUCCCAGGUUCAAGCGAUUUUCCUGCCCCAGCUUCCCGAGCAGCUGGGACUACAGAAUAUGCUCUCCAUGAGGGUGUUCUUCAGGGCCUACCACAAUGGCUGGCACUAGAGAAGGGCACAAAAUUGAAGAACAGUGAAGACAAAAGCAAUAAGAUGAUUAAGGCCAUGUGAGACAGCAACAAUAUCAGCAUCUCACUCUGUUGUCCAGGCUGGAGUUCAGUGGCGCCAUCUCGACUUACUGCAGCCUUGACCUCCUGGGUUCAAGUGAUCCUUCCACUUAAGCCUCCCAAGUAGCUGGGACCACAGGCAUGUGCCACCACGCCCAGCUAAUUUUUGUAUUUUUUGUAGAGACGGGCUUUCACCAUGUUGCGCAGGCUGGUCCUGAGCUCCUGGUCUCAAGCAAUCCUCCUGCCUCAGCCUCCCGAAGUGCUGGGAUUACAGACGUGAGCCAUCAGGCCCAGCCUAUAAUGGAAUUCUUAUUAUCAGAUUAGCCUUUCUGCCUUAAACAACCAUGAAACUGCCCAAAAGCUAUGAGCAACCAUUUUCAAACAAUAGACAACAGGCAGUGCAUGACAGUAAUCCCCAAGAUCACUGAUGAGAUGUUUCCCACAAUUUCUCUGUCUCUCUGCUGGCGACAGCUUUCCAAUUGCAGCAUAGCAAGCUGGAAUUCUGGCAGAGUAGGGAUGCCCUGCUGUGUUGAGAAGAGAUCAGAGUGAAGGGCUGCCGAAACCGCUGCAGUCCAUAAGUCGUGGCCCUGGAGAGAAUGGAGCUGCUUAUGUGGGAGGCAGAGAUCCACACCAUGGCUUUCUCAUGAGUUCUUAGCUGAAAACUGGGCUGUACAUGUGUAGGGAAGACUACCUGAGGGUUACCAGAGAGAGGCUGCUACCCAGUUGAGAGCAAAGCAGAUAAUAGAGGUCAGGCAGAUAACAGAAUCCAGAGCCUCUACAAUGUAUCAUCCAGUGUCCUUGACACAAUCUACAAUUCCUAAACAUACAAGGAAACAGAAAAAUAUGACCCAUAGCAAAAACAACAAUCAAUAGAAGCUGACCACAAGGUGGUCCAGAUGCUGGACUUAGCAAAGACUUUAAGGAAAUUAUUAUAUGUUCAAAAUUCUAAAGGAAAGUGUGUUUAAAGAAUUAAAGGAAAAUAUGUUUAAAUAAUUAGGCCAGGCGCGGUGGCUCAAGCCUCUAAUCCCAGCACUUUGGGAGGCUGAGGUGGGUGGAUCACCUGAGGUCAGGAGUUCGAGACCAGCCUGACCAACAUGGUGAAACCCCAUCUCUACUAAAAAUACAAAAAAUUAGCCAGGCUUGUUGGUGCGUGCUUGUAAUCCCAGCUACUCGGGAGGCUGAGGCAGGAGAAUCUCUUGAACCUGGGAGGCGGAGGUUGCAGUGAGCCGAGAUCGCGCCAUUGUACUCCAACUUGGGCAACAAGAGUGAAAUUCCGUCUAAAAAAAGAAAAGGAAAAUAUGUUUAAAUAAUUAAAGGAAAAUAUGGUCUUUUUUUCUUUUUUUAAGAGACGGUGUCUCACUGCAUUGCCUAGGCUGAACUUGAACUCCUGGGCUGAAGAGAUCCUCUUGCUUCAGCCUCCCAAGUAGCUGAGACUACAGCCAUGUGCCCCCACACCCAGCAGGAAAGGUGUUUUCUUUUGAGGCAGGUUCUAACUCUGACACCCAGGCUGGAGUACAAGUGGCAUGAUCUUGGUUCACUGCAGCCUCAACCUCCAGGGCUCAAGUGAUCCUCCCACCUCAGCCUCCCAAGUAGCUGGGACUACAGGUGCACACCACCAUGCCCAGCUAAUUUUUGGUUUUUUUUUUUUUUUUUUUUUUUGGCAGAGACAGGUUUCACCCUGUUGCCCAGGCUGGUCUCAAACUCCUGGGUUCCAGCAGUCCACCCACCUCGGCCUCCCAAAGUGUUGGAAUUACAGGCAUGAGCCACCACACCCAGCCAGGAAAGAUCUUAAUGAGUGAAUGAAUAGAAAACCAAGCAGACAAGCUGGUGGCUCCUGCCUGUAAUCCUAGCACUUGGGAGGCCAAGGCGGGUAGAUCACUUGAGGUCAGGAGUUUGAGAACAGCCUGGCCAACAUGGUGAAACCUCCUCUCUACUAAAAAUACAAAAAUUAGCCGGGCAUGGUGGCGCAUACCUGUAAUCCCAGCUACUGAAGCUGAGGCAGGAGAAUCUCUUCAACCUGGGAGGUAGAGGUUGCAGUGAGCCGGUAUUGCACCACUGCACUCCAGCACAGGCGACAGGACAAGACUCUUUCUCAAAAAAAAAAAGAAAAAAAAAAAAAAACCACCAAGCAGAUAAAUGUCAAUUAUAGCAAAGUACCAUCUAGAAAUUCUAGAACUGAAAAGUAUAAUAACUGAAACAAAAAGUAUUUAAGAUGGACUUGACUUCUUAUAGAGAAGGCCGAAGACAAAGAUAGGCAACUUAAAGACAGAUCAAGAAAAAUGAUCCAGUCUGAAAAACAGAGAGAAAAAGGACUGAAGAAAAAUACGGCAAGCCUCAGAGAUCCGUGGAACAAUAUCAAAUAUCUGGAUAUAUUUGCUUGUCUUAUCAUUAUAAGAGAGGGACUAAAGACCAAUGGGAAUUUGGGUAGGGCUUACGAAUUGUGCUUGUCACUAUCAUGUGCCCUGGGGAGGCCCUAUGUUGGGAUACCUCCAGGAUCACUUUAUUUAGGUGUUUCAGGCCGCUUGGAUUCCCCAGAGAAGCCUCUUUAAAUGUUCCAAUCUCCUGGUAAUGCUCAGGGAGCCCAGUGGGAGAAUAGAGCUGGACUCAGCAUCUAACAUUCAAUAGCAGUAGUCACUUAAACCCUUAUUUUUGGUACAGUACUCACAUCCUCAACUAUGCCUGGUUUCCUCAGUCCACAGACCUUUAUUUUACCAUCUGUAGGUACUAAUGCCUCUUCUUGGAGACAAGGGAGGGGCAGUUGCUAAUAAGUAUGGAGUGGGUGAGGGGAUCUCAGGAUCUAGCUGCAUCUCAAACUGCUUUCACCCAGUUCUCAUUAUUUUGGACCUCCUUUCACUCCCAAUUCCAGAGAUGCCUGGGUUCUGUCAGUUUCUGUGCCUUUUUAGGAUACUGUGAUGGUUAAUAUGUGUCAAAUUGACUGGGCCAAGUGCCCAGAUAUUUGGACAAACAUUAUUCUGGGUGUUUCUGUGAGGGUGUUUUUGGAUGAAAUUAGCAUUUAGGUGGGAUCUGGUGGUUCAUGCCUGUAAUCCCAGCAUUUUGGGAGGCCAUGGUGGGAGGAUUACUUGAGGCCCGGGUUUUGAGACCAACCUGGGCAACACUGCAAGACCCUGUCUCUACAAAAACAAAAUAAAAAAGAAAUUCGCAUUUAAAUCAGUAGACUUGAGUGAAGUCAAUUGCUCUCUGUCUCGGUCUGCUCAGCCUACUAUAAUAAAAUACCAUACACAUGCUGGUUAAACAACAGAAACAUUUCUCACAGUUCUGGGGGCUGGAACGUCCAAGGUCAAGGUGCUAGGCAGUUUACCUUCUGGUGAGGAGCCUCUUGCUGGCUUGCAGAUGGCUGCCUUCUCACUGUGUCUUCCUCACGUGGUGCAGAGAGAGAUCUCUUGUGUCUCUUCUUACAAAGCCACUAAUCCCAUAAUGAGGGCUCCCAUAUGCCCUUGUUGCUCCCAAAGGCCCCAUCUCCAAAUACCAUCACCCUGAGGGUUAGGGCUUUAAUGUGAUUUGGGGGGGACACAAGUGUUCAGUUCAUAACAUUCCCCAUAGUGUGGGUGGUCUCAUCCAGUUAGUUGGAGGCCUGAAUAAAGACUGACCUUUUGCCCCAGCAAGAGGUAUUUUACAGCUGACUUACUUGGUCUGCUGAAAAAUACCUCUUCAUCCACACUACAGAUUUUGGAUUUACCAGCCAAAUAAUCAUGCGAGCCAAUUCCUUUUCUCUCUCACUGUCUUUGUCUUUUUCUUUCUGUCUCUCCUACAUAUGCGCUCGCACACACACACGCGCACACACACACACACACGCACACCCCUUAUUGCCUCCUAUUGUUUCUCUGGAGAACCCUGCCCACUACUGGCCCAAGAAUGGUUCCUUCUUAGGUCAGCUAAGACAGUCACCACUCUUCUGCUUUCUAGGUUCCAAAAGCUUGCUGCUGUUGUCUCUCUCUCUCUUUUUGUUUGUUUGUUUGUUUGUUUUUCUUUUUUGAGACAGGGUUUUGUUCUGCCUGCCAGGCUGGCGUGCAGUGGCAUCAUCUUGGCUCACGGCAACCUCCGUCUCCCAGGCUCAAGUGAUCCUCCCAUCUUAGCCUCCCGAGUAGCUGGGACCACAGGCAUGUGCCACCAAGCUUGGCUAAUCUUUUUUUCUUUUUCUUUUUUUUUUGUUUUUGUUUGUUUGUUUUUGAGACAGUCUCCCUCUGUGGCCCAGCCUGGAGUGCAGUGGUGCAAUCUCGGAUCAUUGCAACCUCUGCCUCCCAGGUUCAAGCAAUUUUCCUGUCUCAGCCUUCCAAGUAGCUGGGAUUAUAAGUGUGUGCCACCAUGCCUGGCUACUUUUUUUUUGGCAUUUUUAGUAGAGACAAGGUUUCAACGUGUUGGCCAGGCCGGUUUGAACUCCUGGGCUCAAGUGAUCCACCCGGUUUGGCCUUCCAAAGUGCAGGGAUUAUAGGCGUGAGCCACCACGCCUGACCUGCUGUCAUCUGUUCUGUUCUCAUUGUUGUAGACUUAUUGUAGUUUUUACUAUAUAUACAGUCACUUUACUAUAGUAGGUUUUUGGGGGAAUGGAUCUAGAUGUGCAUGUUUAAUCUGCAAUUUCAGCCCAGAGCUCCUGGACUUCCUAAUUCUUAAGAGUGAUUUAAAUAACAGAACGUUUCCUGGAAAUUGUGUUCUUAUGCAAUAUGUUAGCAGCCUUCUGUUGGUCUCCCCCUCAUUAAAGGGCCUCAAAAGAGAUUUCUUCUUUUUUUUUUUUGGCAGGGCCUUGCUCUGUUACCCAUGCUGGAGUACAGUGAUGCCAUUAUGGCUCACUGCAGUCUUGACCUCCAGGGCUCAAGCCAUCCUCCCACCUCAGCCUCCUGAGUAGCUGGGACUACAGACAUGCAACACCAUGCCCAGCUAAUGUUUAAUUAUUUUUUAAUAGAGACCCAGUCUCAUUUUGUCGCCCAGGCUGGUCCUGAACUCUUGGGCUCAAGCAAUCUUCCCACCUCCCAAAAUGCUGGUAUCACAGGCUUGAGCCACCAUACCCUGCCCUCAAAAGAGAGAAAUUAAUUAAUUAAUGUAUUUAUUUUUGAGACAGAGUCUCACUCUGUCGCCCAGGCUGGAGUACAGUGGUGUAUCUUGGCUCACUGCAACCUCUGCCUCCUGGGUUCAAGCAAUUCUGCUGCUUCAGCCUCCUGAGUAGCUGGGAUUACAAGUGCACGCCACCAUGCUCAGCUAAUUUUUGUAUUUUUAGUAGACACUGGGUUUCUCCAUGUUGGCCAGGCUAGUCUUGAACUCCUGACCUCAAGUCAUUCACCCACUUCGGCCUCCCAAAGUGCUGGGCUACAUGCGUGAGCCACUGUGGCUGGCCAAAAGAGAUUUCUUAAUCUACCUUCCUUCUUGUGUACAAAAGGGCCACAAAGCUAUUAAAAUAAAUCAUAAUUAUGUCUGUUCCAAGUCCAUUACUUGAACAUGACAAAUCAGUAAGAGACACUCAUUUUCUUCUAGAGAAGUAGGUAUCUUCAAGGGCCCUGGGCUCACCACAAGUUCACAAAUGCAUAGCUUCUUGGACAUGUCUGGCCUUAGCUGACAGUAAAUACUAAAAUAUACUUCAGAUACAAAACAUCUACUACAUCUAACUCAAGCUAGCAAUGUCAAAUGAUUACCUUGGUCUUAACAUCUAAAAGGCUUUUUCUUCCCUUAAAUGAGUCCUAGCAUUAGGUAUCCCUGAUUACAGUAAGCAGUUCACUCUUCCAUUAAAAAAAACAACCUUCAUUAUACAAACACAGACUAAUGGAGACAACGCCCUAGUGCCUGUGAUCAUUCUUCUUACGCUGGAAAAUACCUGCUUUGCCUCCAGCCUGUGUUCUGUGGCCAGGACAGCUGUCUUGGUAGAGGCUUCUUGUGUUUUCAUCCUGGUGUCCCUCUUUAUGGGGCUGCUCCACCUCAGCACUCCUUCUAAAAACCAAAAUGCAAUUCCUAUCAACUGUCGAAUAUGUAAAUAUUACAUUUUACUCAUCUCUGCUGGUCAUAUUACCCUUAUGCUUUGCCUCCCAGUAAACCCAGCAUCUUUUUUUUUUUUUUUUUUUUUUUUUUUUUUUUUUGGAGAUAGGGUCCUGCUCUGUCACCCAGGCUGGAGUGCAGUGACGCAGUCACAGCUCACUGCAGCGUCAACCUCCCAGGCUCAAGCUUUCCUCCCACUUCGGCCUCCUGAGUAGUUGGAACUAGAGGUGCACUUCACCAUCCUGGUAAUUUUUUUUUUUUUGAGACAGAGUCUCCCUCUGUUGCCCAGGCUGGGGUGCAGUGGCGCGAUGUCAGCUCACUGCAACCUGUGCUUCCCAGAUUCAAGCAAUUCUCCUUCCUCAGCCUCCUGAACAGCUGGGAUUACAGGUGCCUGCCACCACGCCCGGCUAAUUUUGUAUUUUUAGUAGAGACGGGGUUUUGCCAUGUUGGCCAGGCUGGUCUUAAGCUCCUGACCUCAAGUGAUCCACCCACCUCCAAAAGUGCUGGGAUUACAGGUGUGAGCCAUCAUGCCUGCUUGUAUUUUUUUUUUUUUUUUUUUGAGACGGAGUUUCGCUCUGUGGCCCAGGCUGGAGUGCAAUGGCACGAUCUCGGCUCACUGCAAGCUCGGCCUCCCGGGUUCACGCCAUUCUCCUGCCUCAGCCUCCCGAGUAGCUGGGACUACAGGCGCCCGCCACCACGCCCGGCUAAUUUUUUGUAUUUUUAGUAGAGAUGGGGUUUCACCAUGUUAGCCAGGAUGUUCUCGAUCUCCUGACCUCAUGAUCCACCCACCUCGGCCUUCCAAAGUGCUGGGAUUACAGGUGUGAGCCACGGCGCCUGGCUGCCUGCUUGUAUUUUUUUGUAGAGAUGGAGUCUAUGUUGCCCAGGCUGGUCUCUGAACUCCUGGCCUCAAGCAAUCCUACCACCUCAGCCUCCCAAAGUGUUGGGACUACAGACACGAGCCUCUGUGCCCAGCCUCCAACAUCUUUAUUCUACCUCCAGUCUACUAAAAACCUCACAAUUGUCUUGCAGUCUUUUUCAUACACCUUUGCCUUCACAAAGCCUUUCUUCCCUCUUUUCCGUUAGCAGAAUCUUGGUUUUUGUAGGCACAUCUAUGCUCCCCUCCGCCAACCAACACCUUCCCCAGCUCAGGGGCAAAUCUUGAUUAGCUGGGUACCUUUUCCCUGGAUGAGGAUUGGCCCAGCAUGGACAUGUGAUACAGUUCUGGCCCAUGAGACAGAUUUCAUGGGGAGGCUUCCAAGAAGUUUCCUCAUUCUUUAAAAGAGACCCCCAGGAAGACUCAUUCUCUUUUGCUAAUCCUUGCUGAGGCUGACUGUGGCAUCUGGAGCUGCAGCAGCCUUCUUGUGAUCAGGAUGGAAUGAAGAGAAAGACAGAAAGACUGAGGGCCCUUCACAACGUCAGCAAAUCCACCAACCAUGGGGCUUAGCUGCCCUACUUCAGGAAAUGUUGUUUAAUGAAAUAAUAAAAUGCCCUAACUUUUUUUUUUUUUUUUUUUGAGAUGGAGUCUCACUCUGUCGCCCAGGCUGGAGUGCAGUGGCGUGAUCUCAGCUCACUGCAAGCUCCACCUCCCAGGUUCACGCCAUUCUCCUGCCUCAGCCUCCUGAGUAGCUGGAACUACCAGCGCCUGCCACCACACCUGGCUAAUUUUUUGUAUUUUUAGUAGAGACGGGGUUUCUCUGUGUUAGCCAGGAUGGUCUCGAUCUCUUUACCUCAUGAUCCACCCGCCUCGGCCUUCCAAAGUGCUGGGAUUACAGGCGUGAGCCACUGCACCCGGACUAACUUUUUUUUUUUUUUUUCAGAAACAGUGUCUCACUCUGUUGCCCAGGAUAGAGUACAGUGGCCGCAUCAUGGCUUGCUCCAGCCUCAACUCCUGGGCUCAAGGGGGAGCCCGACUAAUUUUGUAUGUUUUGUUGUGUUUUGUUUUGUUUUGAGACAGGGUCUCACUCUGUCACCCAGGCUGGAGCUCACUGCAGCCUCCACCUCCCCAGGCUCAUGUGAUCCUCACACGUCAGCUUCCAGAGUAGCUGGAACCACACGUAUGUGUUGCCUGGCUAAUUUUUGAUUUUUUUUUUCUUUUUAAGUUUUGUAUUUUUUGUAGAGAUGGGGUUUCACCGUGUUGCCCAGGCAGGUCUCAAAAUGCUAGACUCAAGUGAUCCUCCUUCCUUGGCCUCUUUAAAGUGUUGGGAUUACAGACUUGAUAGCCACCAUGCGAGGCUUUUUUUUUUUUUUUUUUUUUGAGAUGGUGUUGUGCUCUGUCACCCAGCCUGGAGUGCAGUGGUGCCAUCAUAGCUUACUGCAGCCUCAACCUCCGGGUCUCAAACCAUCCUCCCACCUCAGCCUCCCGAAGCUCUGGGAUGACAGUCAUGAGCCACCAUGCCCAGCCAAAAUGCCCUAACUUUUUAAAGCCAAAUUGAAGUUGGAUGUACUAGAUCUUUUUCUGAUUGGUCCUUCAGACUCAUUUCUCUCUGUCAAUCAGGAGGCUGGGUUUGGCCUGUGACAUGUAUCAACAGAUCAAAGGGUGGGAGUACAGAGCCAGGUCCUGGUUCACUGGUGGCUGCAUCCUUUGCCCAAGGUCAUAACCCCUGUCAGGUGGCUUUUGUGCUGUAGCUAUACAUCAGAUUUCAAGAACCUCUCCUUCCUUUUGCCCUCUCAACUAAAAAGUGUGGUGGUGGUUUCCUUCUGUUGCUAGUUUCAUUCUUUGUGGUUCCCUGAACCCUACCUAUACUUUAGUAAGUAAUUGCUUCAUUAGCAUCUCUUAAAUAUCCUCUUUUGGCUGGGCGCAGUGGCUCACACCUGUAAUCCCAGCACUUUGGGAGGCCGAGGCAGGCGGAUCACGAGGUCAGGAGAUCAAGACCAUCCUGGCUAACACGGUGAAAUCCUGUCUCUACUAAAAAUACAAAAAAUUUUUGUAGUCCCAGCUACUCGGGAGGCUGAGGCAGGAGAAUUGGCGUGAACCCGGGAGGCAGAGGUUGCAGUGAGCCGAGAUUGCGCCACUGCACUCCAGCCUGGGUGGCAGAGCGAGACUCCGUCUCAUAAAAAAAAAAAAAAAAAAAAUUCUCUCUUGCGUUUGCCAACUCUUUUCCGCCAGGACCCUGACUAAUACUUGGGUUUGCAACUGUUGCAAUUACUGCCCACCUGAAUGAACCCUUACUAUCCUUAAAGACAUUUUACUAUCAUCUUUCAUGUAGAUGAGUCUGUUCAUUGGUUUUAGAGCAUGAAGUGGUGUAAUGUGCCCAUUUUGAUUUUUGUCUGACGUUCUGAUAGGUGAUUAAUUGAUUGUUUUUAUCAAAACGUCUACUCUCCUAAUAAAUCUGUCAAUUUUUUUUAUUCCACCUAUAACUUUUGUUUUUUAUUUUUAUUUUUUUGAGACGGAGUCUAGCUCUAUCGCCUAGGCUGGAGUGCAGUGGUGCGAUCUUGGCUCACUGCAACCUCUGCCUCCAGGGUCCAAGCAAUUCUCCUGCCUCAGCCUCCUGAGUAGCUGGGAUUACAGGCAUGCGCCAUGACACCUGGCUAAUUUUUGUAUUUUUAGUAGCGACGGGGUUUCGCAGUGUUGGCCAGGCUGGUCUCGAACUCCUGACCUUAAGUGAUCUGCCUUCCUUGGCCUCCCAAAGUGCUGGGAUUACAGGCGUGAACCACUGCUCCUGGCCCAUCUAUAACUUUUGGGUUGUUCACAUUUAUGGGAAAACAAUGAGGAGAAAUAAAUUUCCAAAUGUUUUUAGAUUAAUGACUUUUACAUGCCUUCCAAGUAUCUUCUAAAGAAGUGUUAUGAGAUGUUCCAGCCGGGCACGGUGGCUUACGCCUGUAAUCCCAGUACUUUUGGAGGUGGGCAGGUCACCUGAGGUCAGGAGUUAGAGACCAGUCUGGGCAACAUGGUGAAACCCUGUCUCUACUAAAAAUACAAAAAUUAGCCAGGCAUGGUGGCGCAUGCCUAUAAUCCCAGCUACUCAGAUAGCUGAAGCAGGAGAGUUGCUUGAACCUGGGAGGUGGAGGUUGCAGUUAGUCGGUGAUGACUGUUGAGAUGUAACACCAGCAGCAUGAUCCGUGACAGAAUUAAUAAGGUGGACUUUAUUAAAAUUAAAAUUUUCUGCUUUACAAAAGACACUCUUAAGAGAACAAAAAGACAAGACAGACUAGAAGAAAAUGUUUGCAAAAGAUAUAUCUGAUAAUGGACCAUUAUCCAAAAUAUACAAAGAAUUCUCAAAACUUAACAAUAAGAAAACAAACAACCUGAUUAAAAAAUGAGUCAAAGGCCUGGCAUGGUGGCUCGUACCUAUAAUCCUAACACUUUGGGAGGCUGAGGCAGUAAGAUUGCCUGAACCCAGAAAUUCAAUACCAGCCUGGGCAAUAUAGUGAGACCUCGUCUCUACAAAAAAUAUAAAAAUUAGCUGGGUGUCGUGGUGCAGGCCUGUUGUCCCACCUACUUGCUAGGCUGAAAUGGGAGGAUGGCUUGAGCCCAGGAGGCGGAGGUUGCAGUGAGCCAUGAUUGUGCCACUGCACUCCAGUCUGGGCAAUAGAGCAAGACUCUGUCUCAAAAAACAAAAGCAAACCCAAAAAUAUGCCAAAGACCUUAACAGACACCUUACCAAAGCAGAUAAACAGAUGGCAAAUAAGCAUAUGAAAAGAUGCUCCACAUUUCCCUUUCAUCAGGGAAAAGCAAAAUAAAACAACAAUAAGAUGUCAUUGCAUACCUAUUAGAAUGGCCAAAGUCCAGAACACUUACAACAUCAAAUGCUGGCAAGCAUGUGGAGCAACAGGAACUCUCAUUGCUGAUGGGAAUGCAGAAUGGCAUAGCCACUUUGGAAGACAGUAUGGUAGUUUCUUACAAAACUAAACCUACUCUUGCCAUAUGAUCCAAUGUUGGCUUUGAAAACUUAUGUCCAUACAAAACCCUGCACAGGUAUUUAUAGCAGCUUUAUUCAUAACUGCCAAAACUUGGAAGUAACUAAAAUGUCCUUCAGUAGGUGAAUGGAUAAAUUGUGAUACAUUCAAACAAUGGAAUAUUAUCCAGCAUUAAAAAGAAAUGAGCUACCAAGCCGUAAAGAGACAUGAGGAAAACUUAAUUCCAUAAUGCUAAGUGAAAGAAGCCAGUCUGAAAAGGCUACACACUGUAUUAUUCCAACAAUAUGGCAUUCUGGAAAAGACAAAACUGUGGAGAUGGUAAAAAGAUCAGUGGUUGCCAGGGGCUGAGGGCAGGAAGGGAUGAAUAGGCAGAGAAUAGAGGAGUUUUAGGGCAGUGAAAAUACUCUGUAUGAUACUAUAAUGGUGGACACAUGUCCUAUAUAUUUUUCCAUUUGUCCAUAGAUUGUACAACAACAAGAAUGAACCUUAAUAUAAACUAUACACUUUGAGUGAUGAUGUGUCAAUGUAGGUUCAUCAGUUGUAAUAAAUGUAGCACUCUGGUGGGGGAUGUUGUUAAUGGGGGGGAUUGUGCAUGUGUUGGGGGGGCAUAUGAGAUAUCUCAGUGCCUUCCUCUUAAUUUUGCUAUGAACCUAAAACUGCUCUCAAAAAAAUAAAGUAUGAGCCACUGCACCUGGCCUGUCUCUGCCAUUUUUUGACAGAUAAUGGAACGGCAUGAUUCACAACAGUAUUAUUCUGUUAAUUUCAUCCAGAUGAAAAAAUACUGAUCACAUAAAUAGAAAUAUAUGUUUAGAGAUGUGUAGAACUAUCACCAUAUACAAAAUAUACUACACUGUCAUCAUCAAAGAGUUGUUAAAAGUUUUCCUACUCAAAUUUGAAAUAUCUGCCAGGCAUGGUGGCUCACACCUGUAAUUCCAGCAAUUUGGGAGGCUGAGGCAAGCAGAUAACUGGAGCUCAGCAGUUCGAGACCAGCCUUGGCAACAUAGCAAAACCGCGUCUCUACUAAAAAAUUAAAAAAUUAGCCGGGCAUGGUGGCGUGCACCUGUAAUACCAGCUACUCAAGAGACUGAGGUGGGAGGAUGGCUUGAGCCCGGGAGGUUGAGGUUGCAAUGAGUCAGGAUCGUGCCACUCACUCCAGCCUGGGCAACAGAGCAAGAGUCUAUCUCUAAAAAAAAAAAAAAGAAGAAGAGGUCGGGCGUGGUGGCUCACGCCUGUAAUCCCAGCACUUUGGGAGGCCAAAGCAUGUGGAUCACUUGAGGUCAGGAGUUCUAGACUAGCCUGGCCAACAUGGUAAAAUCCCGUCUCUUCUAAAAAUACAAAAAUUAGCUGGGCGUGGUGGCAGGCACCUGUAAUCCCAGCGGGGCCGAGGCAGGAGAAUCACUUGAACCCGGGAGGUGGAGGUUGCAGUGAGCCGAGAUCGCACCAUUGCACUCCAGCCUGGGGGACAAGAGCGAGACUUCGUCUCAAAAAAAAAAAAAAAAAGAGAGAAAUAUCCUUGUCCUUUAAUACAAUGAGACACAAACCUCAUAGGUCAAAUGGGAAAGGAAGUCUGUGAAGGCUUUCAGAUGCAACAAGACUUUGACUACUGACUUUCACUAUAGAAUCAGCGGGUGGGGGGGUAUAAAAUGACAAAAUAGAAUUUCAGAAACUAAAUUGGUCAAGAUGUGUGCAGAAACCUGAUUCAAAUGGCCUAGAUAGUUCCCAGAGUUCUUGCAAGUAUAAGAUGCACAGCUGUCAAAGAGACAUUCUCAUCUUGAAAUAUUAAUGGGUUGGCCCAUGACACGUCCCUCUAUACUCCCAGGGGAACCCACUUAAAAGCAAUAAUAUAUUAAAUGAUAUCCUCCUAAAUUAGUACAAAGCAUUCUAUAAAAAGCGUGUCAAGGCCUUCUUUUCACAUGUCCUACCGUGGCAGAUGCUGUUGGUGCUUCACCUGUAUCCCCCUGGAUCCCUUUUACCAUUUCUGUCCUGUUAUCCUCCACUUUCUGUGACCUUUGUUUCCAGUGGCUUGUACCUGAGGGCAUCACACCUGGUCUGCUGGGGUUGCUGUGCACACCAGCAUAUAAAGGGAGUGAGAAUGGCCUGAGAGUUUAUGUGUCCUUCCUACCUGUGUUCAUAACCACUGACUGGUGCAGGAAAGCCUGCACUUUCACUGAUGUGAAAGCCCAGCUCCCUCACUGCAGUGGAACAAAACUAUAAAGUGUAAUUUCCCCUUCAGAACUCACCUCUGCAUCAGGCUGAGGCUGGGACAUGGCCAGCAUCAAAGCCUUGCUUGGCAUCUUCCUCUUCCUUUACUUCUUUUCUGCAUUCCUUUAAUUGUUUCUCCUGGGAGCACUUCCUUAAUAAAUCAUUUGCACAUUGCUUCUGUCUCAAAAUUUGUUUUCGGGAACCCAACCUAAGAAACCAACCAUCCCUGAUAAACCAUGCUGCCAUGUGCAGCCUAAAAUUGGGAUACACAUCCUAAAAUUGGGAUACACAUCCUAAAAUUGGGAUACACACCAGAAAAAAAACUUCGUUGAAACAUUGCUAAUAGGGGCCUUUGGCCUUGAAUCCAUGACUGCAAAAAUACUUCUCUAAUGUGGGCAGGGAGGGGAAUGAAGAGACAGAGCAAUGCUGCUUAGAGCUUUGCCCUUGACACAAAAACAGGAGCUGCCAGGGAAACAACCACUGCAAUCAUUUGUGCUUCAUGAGGAGCAGCCACCAGGGGCUGUUGGUUGUGAUUCUGUUCUUCUUGCUAUGGAAUGAUCCUGGAUCUCUGUUUGUUUGUUUGUUUUUUGUUUGUUUGUUUUUAAGAGUCUUGUGCUGUCGCCCAGACUGGAGUGCAGUGGCGGGAUCUCAGCUCACUGCAACCCCUGCCUCCUGGGUUCAAGCGAUUCUCCUGCCUCAGCCUCCCGAGUAGCUGGAAUUACAGGCGCCCACCACCAUGCCUGGCUAAUUUUUGUAUUUUUAGUAGAGACAGGGUUCGCCAUGUUGGCCAGGCUGGUCUCGAACUUCUGACCUCAAGCGAUCUGCCCACCUCGGCCUCCCAAAGUGCUGAGAUUACAGGCUUGAGCGCCCGGCUUUGGAUGUCUGUUUUAACUUCCUCUUCAGUUGAAGGAGAUUGGCAAUCCCAAAACAAAGAUACUUCACCAAUCCAAACAAGUUUGUAAAAACCCACUGCCUCCUGAAGUCUUUGGCACUCACUUGGCUAUAACUAUAAUUUUCUCAUUCAUCAUCUCACCAGACUAAGAAAACAAUGCUAUUCUUUGACCCAGCAACAUGCUAAGAACUUGUGUGUCUUUUCUUGUCAGUUAUGCUCACAUGGGACUCACAGUUACUGGAAGACAUAACAUGAAAUAUAGACAAUUUCAGAUGAGCAAAAGCUGAGAGAAUUCAUUUUCAUCAGAUUUGCACUACAAUAAGCACUAAAGAUUGUUCAUCAGGCUGAAAGGCAAAGAUAUCCAGUGACGGCACUCCUUGGUAUUUACCCAAAGGAGUUGAAAACGUAUGUCCACAUAAAACCCUGCACAGAUAUUUAUAGCAGUUUUAUUCAUAACUGCCAAAACUUGGAAGCAACCAAGAUGUCCUUCAGUAGGUGAAUGGAUAAAUAAAUUAUGGUACAUUCUACAGAAAGGAAUGAAGAACAUCUUAUAUGGGCUAAUAUAAAAGCCUAUAUUUUUUUAAUUUUAAAAAUAAUUUCUUUAAAAAACAACUGACCAAACAAAAACAAUAAUAAUUUAUUGUAAGAUUUAAAACAUGUAAGGCCAGGCACAGUGGCUCAUGCCUGUAAUCUCAGCACUUUGGGAGUUUGAGGCAGAAGAAUCACUUGAGCCUAGGAAUUUGAGACCAGUCUGGGCAACGUGGUUAGACUCCCUCUCUACAAAAAAUACAAACAAAUUAGACUGGCAUGGUGAUGUGUACCUGUAGUCUCAGCUACCUAGGAGGCUGAGGUGGGAGAAUCACCUGAGCCUGGGAAGUUGAGGCUGCAGUGAGCCGUGAUUGUACCAUUGCACACCAGCCUGGGCAAUAAAAUGAGACUCUAUCUCAAAAAUAAAUAAAAAUAAAACAUGUAAAAGUAAAAUAUAUGACAAUAAUAGCAGAAGGACAGGUAGGGUAAAUGAAAUUAUUCUCUCUUUAGGUUAUACAUUUUAUGGAUAAAUUAAUUCUAAGCAAAAUGUAAUAAAUUAAGAAUGUAGGCCGGGCACAGUGGCUUAUGCCUGUAAUCCCAGCACUUUGGGAGGCCGAGGCGGGCAGAUCACGAGGUCAAGAGAUCAAGACCAUCCUGGCCAACAUGGUGAAACCCCGUCUCUACUAAAAAUACAAAAAAUUAGCUGGACGUGGUGGUGUGCACCUGUAGUCCCAGCUACUUGGGAGGCUGAGGCGGGAGAAUCACUUGAACCCAGGACAUGGAGGUUGCAGUGAGCAGAGAUUGCAUCACUGCACUCUAGCCUGGUGACAGAGCGAGACUCUGUCUCAAAUAAGUAAAUAAAUAAAUAAAUAA
rnacentral:lncRNA from 1 species